CCUGGGGAGGAGGUGGAGAUGAAGCUGGAGCCUGGGGUGGAGGUAAGGUGGAGGUAGGGCGGAGCUGGAGCCAAGGGCCGAGGUGGGGGGGGGGCAACUGGAGCCGGAGGAUGAGGUGGGGGCAGAGCUGUAGUCGGAGUUCCAAUAUUUGUGCCUAUUUCCAGAUACGUACCUCCUUUCCUCGAUCUGGUGCUUCCCGAUUUAAUUCUUUCCCCCAUAGUGAUACCACAACCUAUUCCUGGUGUUGUUCAAAUACAAAGAACCGUAUAUGACGAGUUUCACCAAUAAAUGUUUGAACACACUGAUCAGUAUGUACACGCCUUUGCUCUAGCACAAUGAUGGUCUAUAUCUUGAGACGGGCCAAUUUUCCAACUUUUGGUGCUAUGAAUGAAGAUGCUCCUGGCCGAGGUUUAUUCAAAUUUUGGGCACACAUGUUCGAUUAUCGUGAUGGGCACAUAUACGGGUCUCACAGUUUGAGGAGGCGUUCUGGUACGGAACAUCCGAAUUUAGUAUACUGGUAUUCGGUUGCCUCAGAGCCAUCUCUCAAUCAUCCAAACCCUCGGUUGACACUAAGAAGACGUUAUAAGUUACAGGACAACGAAACAUUGUCCGUCUUCCACUAUCUCCCGGCCUUGAGCACAACAGCACAAGACCCAAUAGAAUGCUCUCAUCCCUUUUUAAUAUUUGAUUAGCAUCCUGAUAUUUGGUUAGUUUAAACUAAAUGUGUUUUGAUUUUGGUUAUGAUAAUGAUAACUCCCAAAUAAUAUUUGGUUAAGUGCGUUAGUAAUAUCUAUCUAUCUAUUAUUAUAAAGAAGUAUUCUUUCACUCAUUCUUGCGCCACAUGGGAUUCCACGUAGGAAAGUCGGUUUCUACCUACACGACACGUGUCCCCUAAAUGAAACUCAUCGUUUUAUUUGAUUGGUUUUGAUCGUUACGCAGUGGAAAAUUAGAUGGGCUUCAACAAUUCUCACAUAGGGCCUCAUGGUUUCUGGGCUCUACAUUUCUUAGGUUAAUGUUCCUUUCCCCUUGGAAACUUUGACAUAGAAGAUUGAAGGUCGUCUCCGGCAAAGUCCUUAUCCUUUUCAUACCACUUCCAUAGAAUUUUAGUCGGUGUUUUGUUUACUGACUCUGUUCUGACAUAUACCGGUGGAACAGACCCGCCGUGUUGAGUCCCGAUGCCAUGUUCUGACAUAUCCUUUGGUUUCCAUAUACCGUCGAAGGAAACUGGGUGACGUUACGCAAAUCUGUUGAGUCCAAACGUCUUUAACGCCCUCAUUCACAACAGCUCCCCACUCCUCUAACGAUCUAUCAUUCAAUUGAGUGAAUCUUUGACUAUAAAUAUGUAAGUCUCAUUUUGUGAAAAUUCAUAUGUGUGGGUUUGCAACCAAAGAGCAAAUUAAAAAAAAAACUUUUUGUCAAUAGUAUUUUGAGUAGCGUGCGUCUGUUGUGUUGUUGUAAUCUGGGAAUCAUCUGAUACUCAUUGAUCGAAUGUUUUUUCAAUAGGAAAGGAGGCGAUGAAGAAAUCCAUUUUAGAGCUUGCAAAUUUCUUCAACUGACUCUUUCUGAUUGAUCAUGUUAAACUAUUGCUUCGUUGAUUUGUUUUUAGAUUGUAUCUGAGGGGCAGGAGAGUGUCUGAGAGCAAUAUAUAGCUAAUGAACGGUGGUGGUAAGGUUGGACUUUCAUCGUCUUUAGAUUGGAGAUUCUCUUAGGUAUUUGGUGAUGCCAGUGCUGGCGAAGAAGUUCAAGAAGGUGUGUUGUACGCGAUACCCGAACAUUAAACAUGUCUUCUUCGUUUCUGAGAGAAUCUGCUUACUAAGCAUCGAUCUAGAAACAACACCAGCACCAUAAACGACAUCUGAUCUAAGAAUAGAGUUUCCUGUCGGACAGAUGGAGAUUCUAAGAAGAUCGCCGGUUGUUGCAGCAGAUGCCUUCCAUGGUGAUGAAAUUGAAGAAGAGAAUGAUGUUUUCUUCUAUGAUUCUGAAAGUGACCACAUCCAAUUUUGUAAUAAUGAAAAAUUGUAAUUCUUAUUUUUAGCUUCGACCCUCUGUUUGGAAGGUCUCAAUUUCUGGGGAGUUAUUUAUCUAUAAAAAUCAUUAACUACA